AAUAAAUACAAAAUGGCCAUCCUACAUACCUCUGUUUUGGUCGCAGAGGAAAGGAUUUUGAAUGUGUAGCGCUGGAGAUGAUGAUCAGCUGAGACUACUGCAUACAAUGAGAAGCUAAUAUGCACGGAGGGGAUAUGGGUGAAAAUGACCAAAAGCGAGUUUAAUCAAGCAGAACCAUGCAGUGGAAACGAGGAAAAAUAGUGCAGAAUAGUGCAAAGGGAAGAUCCGGGGAUACAAAGAGACACGAUCUAAGGAAAGAAGGAAGGCAGUAGGAGCUCGGAAGCGAAGAGGCGAUAAUGAGCGAGUAGUAGACGCACUGGGCAUCUGGAGCCAGCAUAUGGAUACCUCUGGUAAUGCAGAGGAAAAAGAGGCCGACACUAACAGCGCACAACUUAACAGCCUUUAAAAUCACUGCAUCGACGGCUUCGAGCUCGGCUCUACACAGUAACACAACCUUCUCUCGGAAUUAUUCAGUGCAUAGGUUUUGCGACGAAAAAGGAGCUGAAAUGAUCGACUGCCAGAUUACGUCAAAAAGAUUCAAGCAUUGCACAACAGAGCCUCAAUAGUUCUCAGUCUUAUAAUACGUAGGUCUCCGAGUACGAUUUCGUUCUUGAUGUGCUUGUUGUGCAUAAAGUGAAAAGGACCGUGGGGACACACAACAGAAAUCGGCUGUCCCACAGUACGUGUCACCAGUACACGGUUCAGUACGUCACAGGACAACCAGGCGAUAUUCAGGCUUAACAAUGACUGGUGCGAUCCUUCUAGAAGCAAUCCGAUCUUAUUGCUGUAAGCAUAUAAAUAAUGUGAUACUUGUAACGUGUAAUACAGCACAAUGGCUGCAUGGUGAGAGGACCAAAUGUUUAGAUAUCACCUCAUGCACAAGCAACUUUAUUUUUGAGCCAGUGUUGUGCAAAUGAAACCUUUUGGUUUGAUUAUACAGUAUGAAGGCUGGAG
ensembl:lncRNA